GGCACUCGCGGCCGUCGUCGCCGUCGCGCGAGGUGAGGUGGCCCAGCCAGCGCGGCGAGGCCGGCGCGGGACUACGGACGGACUGCCCCGCCGGGCCCAACGGCUGGGCGCCGGGCCCCGGUGUCCCGGCAACAGGAUUGGGAACCCAUGCCACGCUCACCUACCUGCUCGACUGAGGAAUUACCAUGCCAGGUAAAGGGAAACGAGGAAAAGGCCGAGGCAAGUCUGGCGGGAAGAAACAGAAGAAACCGGAAGUGGACAUUCUCAGCCCCGCUGCCAUGCUGAACCUCUACUACAUCGCCCACAACGUGGCCGACUGCCUGCAGCUGCGAGGCUUCCGCUGGCCAGGUGCUCCCAAAUCAAAGAAA